rnacentral:rRNA from 1 species
CUACGGGUUGCAGCAGGCACGAAUUCUCUUCAAUGCGCGAAAGCGUGAAAGGGGAACCCUCAGUGCUCAUGUUUUACAUGGGCUUUUGUCAAGAGUAAAGACCUUGACGAAUAAGUGGUGGGCAAGACUGGUGCCAGCCGCCGCGGUAACACACAGCGCCACAAGUGGGAAUCGUUAUUAUUGGGCCUAAAGCGUUCGUAGCCGGUCUUGUAAAUCUUUUGUGAAAUCGUUUCGCUCAACGAAACGGCGCGCAGGAGACACUGCAAGACUUGGGACCGGGAGAGGUGUAGAGUAUUCGAUGGGGAGCGGUAAAAUGUUAUAAUCCAUCGAGGACUACCUGUGGCGAAGGCGCUGCACUAGAACGGAUCCGACGGUGAGGGACGAAAGCCAGGGGAGCGAAAAGGAUUAGAUACCCCAGUAGUC